GGAAGAUGUCGUCAUCGUCGGCGUCGGCGGCGGUGCGGGUGGAGAAGGCCACUAGCGAGCUGCUGAUCGGGCCGGAUUGGACGAUGAACAUCGAUAUCUGCGACUCGAUCAAUCUGGAUCACUGGCAAGUAAAAGAUGUUGUCAAAGCUGUCAAGAAGCGCCUGCAGAACAAAAACCCAAAGGUUCAGUUUCUUGCGUUGACACUCUUGGAGACGAUGAUAAAGAAUUGUGGCGAAUAUGUGCAUUCUCAAGUUGUUGAGCGUGAUAUUUUACAAGAAAUGAUU
rnacentral:misc_RNA from 1 species